AUAAACACCACCUGGGUUCCUAGAGCAGGAGAGCUUCUGACCUGCUCUUGUUGGGCUGUUCUCUACCUAUUAGAAAUCGUCCUAUACUGAAAUGCUACGGUGGUCAUCUUCUGCCGCUUUUCCACAAAGUGAGCUCUGUCUCCAGGUUCCCGCGGUGUCUCCAGAUAAAAGGUUAGUCACCAGUGAAUGGUGACUGCAUGUGUCAGCACAGAGGUACUGACUUCAAGGAUAGUGACGAGAGUAGUGGACGGGACUCAGUCACACUUCACCCCUGCUUGGAAAACCGGGUCCUGCUCUGCUGCUGCUGGUAGCCAUUUACCACUUGAUUCAUAAUCAACACAAAGGGAAAGGCUUAGAACUUCAAGAAGGAGUGAAACAAAAGCCUUGUUGAAAGUGAAGACUUUUUCUUCCCUUCAUCCCCAUUCAACCGCAUAGUUUGAGCACUGAUUAUGCAUUAGACACUGGGAACACAAAGGUUGGUGAGGAGAAGGUCCCUUGUUUCCAGACUGAGAGUGGCAGGCCAGAAAGGCAGACUGACCUGGGGCAUAAACGACAAUUGAACACGAGGUGGUGAGUGCCGUAAUGCAAGGAGGAAAACUUCGAGGUGUGGCGGCAGAGGCGAGAGGCCAGCUCUGCCUGGGCAGUCUGUCCACCCCACAUAGACAUGACUAACCAGAGAAAUUGGCUAAUAAGAAAAUUCAUGAAAGCAGGAUUCUCUGUAACCAGUAAUCACAGUUUGUGUAGUCCUCCAGGAAGUGGACCUUCAGACGCAACUUACUGGUUGGUAUAUUUGCCAGGGGAGAGAGAAAGAAGGAUUGAGCAGAGGGAGAAGCCAAACUUCAAUGCACGCCUCAGGCAAUUCCUUAGGAAGCUCUGGAGCUUCGAUCAGAUCACCCCUCAGACUUGUCCCACAUUGGGCCAAAUGAGCCCGACCUUUAUAUCCUUACCUUAACCCUUCACUGCGUAUGGGCUACCCUAGAAGGGUGUGACCUUGGGGAAGGCGGAUCUCUGCAGCUAAGGCAAUCCCUACUAGAACCGACAGCUGAGGGCGGUCUGUCAGAUGCACUGCCAGAUGACCCCUUGUGCUUUGUGUAUGUCCAGCAGGCCUCCCUUCCUCAGGAGGGGAAGGCUAGCAAAACAAAUUACACCUGCUAUUGCUGGGCCUAGUCUUGGGCCUGCAACUAAGACUCAGUAUAUCUCUCCGCCACUCACCAUUCUGGAAUCCCCUCACUCUCGGUAGCAUCUCUGCUGGUUUCGGUGGCUUAGCUGGUGGCAUGACCAUUCCUAAGGGGAAUGAGCCCCUUGUCUCCAUGUCCUUCUCAGGCUAGGAGUACUUACUCUCAUCUCUCUCAUGUUUCCACCACCAUCUGCCAAGACUGUAACGAGAGGUACCCAAGUAGAUCACUGAGUUCCACAUGUUCCUCCAUGCCCCCAUUGUGUAAUAGUGGCCCUGCCUCCUCUUGAUCAGGGUCAAUUAGUCCUGCCUGAAUAGUGACUCCUCUUCACCUUUGCUGGUCCCUUAGCACAAGAAGCUUGAAAUGCUCAGGGAUAGCCUGCUUAUAGUUUAAUGAGGUUCUUAUUGUUUUCCCUGGGGGAAAAUGGUUCCCUUUGGGGAUCAGAAUCGCUAACCCUGAAGAACCUAAUGUAAGGAGAUGGUCAGCACAAAUUCCCUAGGUGGGUUAUUGGAAUGGUGGUAAGUAGGAUCAUUCCUGCUUUGACCUUUUAUCUCCCAGUGUCAUGAACUUGUUCUACUGGGGACACUGCACCCUGAGAAUGGUGCCCUGUCCUUACAAACUAUUGGCUCUGAGCUGGUACUUAAGCAUAUCUUCAGCAAACCAUUCCAAAUCUCUAUCUGGCCAGUAGCUUCUGGUUGGGAUGGCAUGUGAUAAAGCCAAGGGAAUCCCAUGGUCAUGGGUCCACUCUCACAUUUCCUUUGCUGUGAAGUGGGUCCUUGGUCUGAUGGCUAUUAUGUGGGAUCCCAUGUUGGUGGAUCAAAUGUUCCAUAAGCUCUUGGACAGUGGUGCUAGCAGAGGCUCUGUAGGCAGAAAAAGCUAGCAUAUAACCAGAAUAUUUGUCUAUUACUGUCAAAAAAAAAAUGAGUGGAAGGGGUCCAGUGUAUUCAACUUCUUACCAAGGUGCUAUUUGGUGUCCCUUCUUUGGGAAACAGUAUUGCAAUGGUGGCUCAACAUUGCUUUCUGUUACUGACAUGUUGCCCAUUGGACAGUGACACCAUUAGAUCAGAUUCAGUAAGUGGUAACCUGUGCAAUUGGGCUCAUACACAGUCUCUGUUUUUCCCCAUGGCUCUGUCUAUGUGCCCCUCAUGCCAGCUGCGGGGUGAUCAAUGACAUAGGCUGACUGCCAUCAACCAGCCAAGUCAUUUUGUCUAUUUGGUUGUUUAGUGCCUCUUUCAUGGUGGUUUCUCCCUAGUAGGUGUUAAUGUGUGAAACAAAGAUCUUCACAUUCCAUGUCAACUCCCAUAUGUCCAUCCACAAAUAUAUAUAUGCUACUUAAUGAGAAGUACUCUCAAGACACCAAAAAUCAGUCAUUUCCAUUUAACCUCUGGGAACUCAUUAUUCAAACUUUCCCAGUCUAACCUUUGGAUAACUUUCCCCACAAGGACUGUCUCUACAUUGACAGCAGAAAUUUAGUGUCAAGAUUUAGCUUUUCAACUGUUUUUAGAAAAAGACACCACUGAAGCUUGCUCUCCAUAAAAGGUCAGUAAUUUAUUACUCCCACCUGUCUUCAAAUAUUCUAAGACCUCUAUCCCUAAUGUUGUUUGUCUUUGAGGAAUGUUAGGCUGUGUUUAAAGAUUUGGUCUUUAGAAUGUGUAAUUUGGCAGAGCAGUCUCAAGUUUUAUACUUAAAGGGAUUAAUAUCCAUUACAGGAAGGUGAAUGAAAAACAAAGCAUUCUUAUUCUGAGGGAUGAUUUUUAACAUGAACUUUUAAACCAUUCAGAAAAUAUUGUCAAUUAACCCUUUUAAUUUGGGAAAUAUCUUUUAUGUUAUGUAACUAUCUCUAACAUUAAAAGAUAUUAAAAUGUUAGUAUCCUCUUCAUUGCUGAAAACUAGUCUCCCAACUUCGUUUUGUAUAUGAGCAAAGGAUGAAAUUAUUUCUGACACCUACAAUAAUUGUCGUUGAAUAAAGGGUUGUUAUUAGAAAGAAGUUAUCCAACCAGUUAGGCCUGUGGCAGUUGCAUAAACAGGGCCUUGUUCCCUGUUAAUGGUAGUAUCCCACAAACCCUGUGGACUCAUAGGUAAACCAAAAGUACAAUCCAACUUGG